AGUGUAUAUUUUUUAUUACAAAUAUUUGCACUGUAAAAAUGAAGAAAUAGUAUUUUUCAAUUCGCCUCAUUCAAGUACUAUAGUGCAUCUAUUUAUCAUGAAAGUGCAACUUACAAAUGUAGGAUAAUGUACAAUAAAUAC